CCCUUAGAUGUCCUGGGCCGCACGCGCGCUACACUGAGUGUCUGAGAUACGAGUCUGCCUGGUCCGGCAAGGUCUAGGUAAUCGCCAAAAGACACAUCAUGCUUGGGAUAGAUUAUUGCAAAUAUUAAUCUUGAACGAGGAAUUCCUAGUAAGCGCAAGUCAACAGCUUGCGUUGAUUACGUCCCUGCCCUUUGUACACACCGCCCGUCGCUACUACUGAUUGGAUGUUUAAGCGAGGUUCUCGAACUGCUAGCGACUUAGCUUCGGUGAGGUCGCAGUGUGGGAAGUGAACCUAGCUUUGGUGUCUAGAGGAAGUAAAAGUCGUAACA
rnacentral:rRNA from 1 species